rnacentral:lncRNA from 1 species
CUACUAUCUAAGCCCAUUAUCCAAAACUCAUUAAAAACCAUUAACCCAUAAACCCAUAUACAUAAACCUAUAUACAUUUACCCAUGAACCCAUACACAUAACCUUAACCAAGUCCAUAAACUUUGAACCAAAACCAUGGACCAAGCCAUACACCAAAUCCCAUGGACCAUACCAUACACCAAAUCCACGAAUUAUGAAUCAAGUUCAUGAAUCAAAUCAAGUCCAUGAACCAUAAACCCAUCUAAGUUUAUGAACCAUAAUCCCAUAUACCCAAUACCAUAAACCUUGUGAACCAAACCCAAAUAAAUCGACCGAAACGUCAUUAAACUAAUCCACCAAAUCAAUCGACCGAAACGUCGUUAAACUAAACCUAAAUUCGAUAUCGACCGAAAUGUCGUUAAACUAAACCUAAAUUCGAUAUCGACCGAAACGUCGUUAAACUAAUCCACCAAAUCCGAUAUUGACCAAAAUGUCGUUAAACUAAACUCAAGUUCAAUUUUCACGAACAUCCCAAUUCCCAAAAUAUUCGAUUCUCUAGCAUAUAAAACUAGAGUCAAAUCACAAUCAUGUUCAAACUUGAUCAAAUUCUAAAUCUAUAUUUAGAAUUGAUCAAACCAUCUGAUCAAAUUAAUUUGUUGGAUUCCAAUACAUACACUUGGAGUUUAAUUUAAAUCAAAUCUGACUAAUCCUAAUACAUAUAAUUAGGAUUUAGUCAAUAUUUCACCUUGAGAUGAACCAAAAUCAAAUGUGACUAAGCUCUAAUACAUAAACUUAGAGCCUAAUUGUAUCAGACUUUAAAAUAUAAAAUUAGAGUCUAAUUCAAGAUAUUUGGGGCUAAUCCUAACACAUAUAUUUAGGAUGAAAGCUCAAAUCAAACUCUAUUGGACUUUAUUACAUAUAUUUAAAGUUCAGAGUUUAAUCAAGUUCGAUUAAAUUCCAAUGCAUAUAUAUGGGAUUUAAUCAAUCUUUCAUCUCAUGGUAAACAAAGUUGAAUUCCAAAAUAUAUAGAGCUCAACGAAAUCUGAUCAUCUAUUGGACUUUAUCACGUACAUUUAAAGUUCAAUUAAUCAAACCAAACUCUAAUACACAUAAUUAGAGUUUAAUCUGAAUUAAAUCUGAUUAAAUUCCAAUACAUAUAUAUGGAAUUUAAUCAAUCUUUCAUCUUAGGGUGAAUGGUGUUGAGCUCCACAACAUAUAGAGUCCAACAAAAUUAAUUUGACCAUAUAUUGGGUAUCUUAGAAUAUAUAACUAAGAUACAAUUGAAAAAUACAUUUUUUUUACGCUCUAUUCAUGUACACUGAGGGUAUGCCCUUGGCUAAAACCAUGUAAUUGAGCAAUAAAUUAUGAAUUUCCUUUUGUCCAAUUCCAGCUUAUAUUCAGCAUUACAAAGGUUUCUUAAUCGAAGGUGCCCUAACACUUUGUAGGGGUAAUUAACAAUAAACGCUUGCGUUUAUUGGAAGCCAUGAAUCCACAAUACCUGAUUCCCAUACAUAUUUAAAUAUUAAUCUGAAUCAUGAAUACUACCCCAUGGCCUGAAAUCCAUCAGCCGUGCGAGGUGCGUCAUUCGUGGUGGCAGACAUCCUCGAAAGUCUUCGUAGGUCCGAUUGACAAUCGUGUACAGUUUGGAGACAGGCGCGACGUUAGUACAGGUGGGUGCUUCGAGCUGGUAGUCGGUGAGAUCGUUUCACUUUCCUCUGUUCUUCUAUAUCAGAAUCGUAGU